UCAAUUUUAAGAAGGUGUCUAGGGA
rnacentral:piRNA from 1 species